AAAAAAAAAAAAAAGAGACAGAUUUGAUGACCCCUUUUGGUGUAUAUUCAAGUAGAAAAUCAAUCAGUAUAAACUGCAACCUGAUAUUGAUUUUAUCAAGUUUCUUUCCACAAUGAAAUCUUCAUUCAUUCAUGUUGUGUUCUGAUGAACUUUGCUGAGGUUCCUCAGAGCCACCCCAAGUUCUGAUGCGCUCUUCAGCUUUCAAAGCUUCUUUGUUCCAGUUAGUACGCAGAAAGACGAAAGUCAGAAUGAUUAUUUGAAGAACACAACCAGCCAACAUUCCUGACCAUAUGCCCUUAACACCUAGAUUUAUUUUAUAGCCAAGAACAGCACCAAUAGGAAGUCCUAUGAUGUAGUAACAUCCAGUAUUGAUGAAGGCAACUAACAACUGCCACCCGGCACCCACUGCCACCCCAUGGAGCACAGGUUGGAUGCUAUUGAGGAAGAUUGUUGCUGCCAAAAAGUAACCAAGCUUUGAUGCCUCCUUCAUGACUGCUG
rnacentral:misc_RNA from 1 species